AAGAAACGUCAUCUGUCAGCUGUCAAGAGUGUCAAGUGAACAGCGAAUCUAAUUUUGGAGAAAAUAAUUGUUUUAUCGACAGCCGUCGUCACCGCAGCCCCAAUCAAGGCGGCGGCGCAGCCAGAGCGGGCAAGAGCGGGCUCCGCGGGCUCUUCUUCCACGCUGAGAAGUCCUCGCCAAGUUGGCACGAACAGUCAAAGCUGCCGCUGCAAUGACGCCUUCAUGGCAGUUACCAGUGCUAAGGACGUGCACUGCUGGCUUACUUGACCAGAAGAGACAAUACUUUAAGUGUUAGUAAUGAUUCAAACCGUGAAGUGAAAUUGUGAACAGGUUUGCCCGAAUCAGUGUAACCUCAGUGAACUCAUUUACUUCAUAGACUUCAAACAUUUUCGAAAUUAACAAAAGUCAAGCGAACAUUGAAUACAUAGAUGUUAUGCAUUAGAUAAGAUAAAAGCUGCCUGUGAAACCAAAACUAAUAAAUCAUAUUAUUACUUAA